UGUGACAUUCACCUGAUGAAGGCCUACCUC
rnacentral:piRNA from 1 species